UUCAUGAUGAAGUCAAGGUCCUUUAAGUCCUGAUCUGGGGAUUGUGGCGAGGACUAAAGGCAAUGGAAAAAAUCCCUAUGCACUGUGCCUGCGCUGCCGUCAUCCUGGUGUCGCCCUUCAUGGCUCCAUCUGAACCGCUAGCUAAGGCCUGCACUUCCUGACCUGGCUCCUGCCCCCUUCUACAGCACUAGUGAAAGGCCACCUACUGUGGGCGCUGGCUAGGCUCUGUCAGAUGGUGCCUUCCCGUCCUCGAAAGAGAGCGCUUUCAAGGCGGUCGCUGAUGAGUCAUCACGAUAUCCAGCUACUGUACCAACAUUCCUGGCAUAUGAUAGCUCCUCCCUGCCUUCCUAAUACGAAUAAUGAGGAAUUGGAUGUGCAACCUAUUGUCUGCUGAGGUCCCUCUGCCCAAUCCAUUUUGGGCUCUAUUUCUCUGGUUUUCUGAAAGUUUCCAGGGUAUUUAGGUUAUCUGUUGCCUGGGGGUUUACCUUUCAUAGUAGAGUCUUCAUUUUGUAGCACAAGAAUCUGAAUGUGAGACUCCACUGCCUCUCGCACCAACGGUGGGAGGUACCCCUUCACUGAAGAUGCUAGAAGGUGAUGGAAAGGGGGUUUCCAAGGCAAUGCAAACAACUUCAAAUGCACUGGUUCCCUGGCUAGAAAGGCCCAAGAGGCAGGACUAUACUCACCACAUUCUGGACUUGUUUCAAAGCCCCAGUCAAAGCUAGAAGUCUUGCUGUUGUAGCUGUUCAGUCGCUAAGCCGUGUCUAACUUUUUGUGACCCCAUGGACUGUUGCACGCCAGGUUCCUCUGUCCAUGGGAUUUCCCAGUCAAGAGUAUUGGAGUGAGUUGUCAUCUCCUCCUCCAGGGGAUCUUCCUGACCCAGGAAUUAAACCCCGGUCUCCUGUGUCUCCUACAUUGGCAGAUGGAUUCUUUACCACCGAGUCACCAGGGAAGCCCCAGAAGUCAUCUUAGUUACCACCAAAAGGGCCAAGGCAGUAUUCAUGAGCGUGGAUAAGGCUGCCUGAAGAGCCCUAAGAGCCUGCCAGGCAUUGUGUUUCCUUCUCAAUAGUGGAAGGCAUGAAAUGAAAAUUUGUCCUUUACUUUGGAGAGAAUGUCCCAGCAUAGCCCAUCCUCUACACCUCUAAAAGCUUCACUGAUAUAGGAGAGCCCUGGAUCUUUGUAGGGCUUAACUUCCACCCUCUGAUGCACAAGCAUCUCACCAAGGCCUUCAGUUUACUGGCACUUCCUGCUCACCUAGUGUGAUUAAUAUGUUAUCAUUGAUGCCGCAGACUGAUUUAAUAAGAUAUUUUCUCCAAACUUCCCAGAGUCAUUCUAACAGUGUGAUGGCAACAACUGGGGAUCUUGCCUGAAUAAACUCAUAUGUCACAGGGGAAUGCUGUCUUUGGAAUGAAUUCUUCCUCCUCCGACUUUACAUUCUUAGCCCCCCUUGACCACAUAUACCCAGGCUNNCUCUAUAUUCUUCCAGCUUCUACCAAUACAGCUUUUUGAGACAUAAUGUCUUUUUCUUCUCAUUACUUAUGUUGUGACUUAACUCAAGUUAUUGGUUUCUGGGUGGAGAGUAAAGGUGGCGGAGUAGGUUAAGAUCCUUUGAGGAAAAACAUUUUUAAAUUUUAUUUAUUAAAC
ensembl:lncRNA